UCCCUGGUAGUCUAGUAGUUAGGACCUGGUGUUUUCACUGCUGUGGUCUGGGUUCAACCCCUGGUCUGGGAA
rfam:Sus scrofa chromosome 15.